GACGAACGCUGGCGGCGUGCUUAACACAUGCAAGUCGAACGGUGAACGAGGGAGCUUGCUCCCUCCGGAUCAGUGGCGAACGGGUGAGUAACACGUGAGCAAUCUGCCCCGAACUCUGGGAUAAGCGUUGGAAACGACGUCUAAUACCGGAUACGACGCGGGAGGGCAUCCUCUCCGCGUGGAAAGAACUUCGGUUCGGGAUGAGCUCGCGGCCUAUCAGCUUGUUGGUGAGGUAACGGCGCACCAAGGCGACGACGGGUAGCCGGCCUGAGAGGGUGACCGGCCACACUGGGACUGAGACACGGCCCAGACUCCUACGGGAGGCAGCAGUGGGGAAUAUUGCACAAUGGGCGCAAGCCUGAUGCAGCAACGCCGCGUGAGGGACGACGGCCUUCGGGUUGUAAACCUCUUUUAGCAGGGAAGAAGCGAAAGUGACGGUACCUGCAGAAAAAGCACCGGCUAACUACGUG
rnacentral:rRNA from 1 species